rnacentral:lncRNA from 10 species
GGACAAUGCUGCAGUCAUCCAGGGUGGGAGGAUCCACUUCCAAAACGUCUCACUCACAUGACUAUUGGCAGAAAGCCUCAGUUCCUUGAAAAUGUGGACUUCUCUGCAGGCCUUCUGGAGUGUCCUCCUGACAGCAACUGGCCUUUCCCAGAGAGAGUGAUCCAACAGAGAGAGCAAGUAGGAUAUAGCUGCGCCUUUCAUGACAGCCUCAGAAGCCACAAAUCACCGUGUCUGCUAUGUUUUAUUCAUCAGAAGUGAGUCGCUGAGUCCAACCAUAUUCACAGGGAGGCAAAGUAAGCUCUACCUCUUAAAGGAAAGGAGUAUCCAAGAAUUUGUGGAUAUAUUUUAAAACGGCCACAGACCUCAGAUGGACAGAAUUCAACUCAUCACAUUUCUUGGUUCUUGACACGCUCUCCUCGUUAGUCCAUCACAUAUUGCACGGAUUCAUUCAUAUCGCUGCAUGUAGGCUGCUUUGACCUGCUGUAGAAUAUCUCAUUGUGUGGAUGCACAUGUGGAUCACUGAGUAUGUCAGAGCUGGCAAGAUACGUCAGAAGAGAAAGGAGAAACUCUUAACUAAAUAGAGUUGGAAAUAAAAUAAUUGUCUGUAUGGAAUAAGAUCAAAGGUCCCACAUGUUAAAGUCAACCCCAGAUGAAUUAAAGUCUUACAUGUCAAAAAAAAUUGAAACUUUUAGAAGAAAAUUAAGGUGGAUAUAUUUUAGACCUUAAGGUAGAGAAAGAUUUCUUAAAGAAGACACUUACAGGAUUGAUUACAAACAAAAAGACUGGUACAUUUGAAUGUAUUAUGUUAAGAACUUUUCCACCAAAAGAAAGCCUCGAUUUCCUCAUUUUUAAGAUGAGGAUAAUAAUCCCUACCUUAUAGAAUUCUAAUAAGAUGAAAUGAAGCAACAUAUACAAAAUACUUAGCACAGAUCCUAACACCUACAAAAUAAUAAAUGGUAACGAUUAUUAUUCUUCUCAAACAACAAUCCUAUUAUUUAUCAAAUAAUACUGAGUAAUAUGACAAGACAUAUUUAAACCACACAAGCCAUAUGCAGACAAGUGUUUAAUAUCAUAGUGAUAGUUUCAAGAGAGAGAUAAUAAUUUAUUCUACAUUUAUCAGAGGUCUAUAGCCCAGUAGUCAAUAAAUACUUAUCUAUAGUCAAUAAGUACUAUCAAGCAUCCAUGCCAGGAACCAUGCUAGGGGCUGAUUAAUUUACAUCAAUCACCAUGACUUUUUUCCCACAAACUAACACACACACAAUCUUCAUAGAUUUUUCUGUGAUCACAGCAAGGAAAAGACCUACGCAUGUUUGGAUCAUCUGUGUACAGUCCUACAGAAGAACUUUGACACUAUCAGAGACAGAAAUCUCAGAAUAGUCCAACUCUCACUUAUUUGUGCUAAUGAAAGAGUAAAGUAAAAGAGACAAUUAAAAUGGGAAAUGUGUUUUGUUUUGUUUUGGUGUUUUGUUUUACAAGUAUGCAAAAACCUCAAAUCAACCUGACCCAACAAUAAGGAAGCAAGUCAGAAAAAGGCAGUCUUCCAGAGCUGUUUGUUCAGCAGCUCAGUAAUGCCAUGAAGGUUUGCUUCCUUUCUCUGCUUUGUGUUUCUGGAGAGAGUCCGCAUACAUUUCAAUAUGGCUGACAGCAGUUCUGGAAUGUAUAAAGCCUUGCAUAAAGAAAAUGACAGUUCACUAUGAAAAUCUGAUUCGGAUGAUGUUGAAAAUAGAUUUAGUGUCUGCUCUGCCUCUCUGUUUUCUAGGACUUCACCACCUCACAGACUUUGUACACUCAUGGUUCACAACUUCCUCACUGUGUUUUCUUUAACGAGUAGAAGAUAAAUAAGCUUUAAGAAAUAGUAAAUUAUAUCAAAAUAGACUUUAUCAUAUAAUUUGCCUAAUUAUGUACCUUCAGUAAGUGUUUAUUGAACUCUGGGGUGUCAACAAUUUUUUAUUCAGCUCUCAUAAGUAAUAUUUGCUUAGAAAUCUACCCAUAAAUAGGAUAACAACUUUCAUAAAACAAGAAUUUAUACCUAGCUAACAUGAAAAAGCUAAACAUCCCUUGAAGUACAAUUCUCCUGAAAAUCAUCCCAAUAUGGUUUAUUGAGGCUGAUGGAUUUGGACACCAGCUCUUAAGAAAAAAGAUAAAGAGGAAAGCUACUGCCUGCCACAACAUAUUCUUUUUCCCAAGAGCUGGUAAGUUUCUUCCAUAUGUGGAAUCCAAUAACGUUCGGAACAUUCUUUUCUCUUUCUGGUAAUGUGAUAUACCCAACGUGGGCCUAUGAUACAAGGAAGGAGAGUAGAUCAGGAGUCAAAAACCACAGGUCCUAGUUCUGGUUCUAUCAUUUCUUUGCUGUGAAAGUCUGGACCAGUGACUUCAUAGCUCUGAGUUUCUGUUGUGUCAUUCUUCAAGUCAGGUCAUCAUUUGCCUUCCCUACUUCACAGGUAGUAUACAGUAAUCUUUUCAAAAGCCCUUUAGAGGACAUAACACAACCUUAUGUUUAUUUUCUGCUAGAGCAUGACUCCCUUGAGGGCUUGGAGCAUGUCUUAAUCAAAUUUGUAUAUUCCACCAUUCCUACCCCAGACCUAUUAUUAGGUGCUCAAUAAAUGUUGAUUUUAAAUGACAGCUGUCAUGAAAUAAAUGAAAACAGAAGCCAACAGUGACGGUUUGAGCUGCCUGCUGGCUGGCAUGUGACACUUAACAUCUAAAGAGUGAUAGUGGCAGCUAAAGUGCGGAAGGAAUCCACUUUAUGAAACUAUCUGAGCAGUGAAGCACUGGAAAUCACAGAGUCUCCUUUUGGCUAUUUUACAUUUAGAUAUGAAAGCUUGUCAGGCUGGGCUGAGAAUAGACAAUGAGAAACUAACACAUUUCAACAGGUUUUGAAUAGUUUCCCAGUGAAGAAUUUUCCUGGCCUCUCUCCACCCUGGUUUUUAUCCCUCUUCUUGGGAGUUAUUUUUCGCAAAUGUACCCCAUGAUUGGCAAAUUUCAGAAGAAUAACUGGGGUUGGCUCAGUUCAGCUCCUCCCCGUCCUUCUCCUGAGUCUGCUUCCAAAGGCAAUCUGCAAGGGAGGAAUAAAGCAACUCAGGGAAGGGAAAAAGAGAUGUGAAGAAGGAAAGAAAUUGGAAGACCCAAAACAACAUGAUGGUUAGUAGAGCUAAUGAAAAUGAGGAAGCUCCAAUAAUAUCUGGUUUUUUUUCUCUGACUUUGUGAAAACCAUUUGUUAUUAUGAUACGACAAUGUAAUCAAUGGUACUCAGUAAAGUCAGUACCCCAAAAUUCGGCCAGGUGUCAUGGCUUUUUGUGUAUGGUUGUCCUGGGAAUUAAAGGAGAAGGAAGGGGCUGUGCCCCUGUAGGGGAGAUGAUGUGCAGAAACGGACGGUAUACACAGGAGGAAAGACAAUGAGAAAAGAUAAAGAAAGAAUUCACUAAAAGCAGGGACUUGGAGCUAGAGAAGCAACAAAAGACAUCCAUAAUUCUUGGAGAUAUUAGGGGAAUACUAGGCUUCCCAAGAAAAAGAUUCAAGCCAUUCUAUUGCACUGUCAGCUGGAAGGUGGUCCCAAAAGGCUGGGGAAAUUGGAGGCACUCAGGAAGCUGCUGUCUUGGUUACAGGCAUUCAUGUAUGGAUGAGGCUGGAGAAGGUAAAAGACAGAGGAAGAGAGUAGGGAGGCAGGUACAGAAAAGAGACUCAUUAUUACCUUUCUCUAUUGCAGGCUUCAGAAGGUGAACCCAGAGAGCAGGCUGUUUCUGUCCAUGGGAAAGCAGGAUGGUACAGCCCAUAUCUGAUUCAGAAACCAACAGUCAAACCAUUCUCCCCUGAGACUAAAGCAGAGAAUGAAGCCAUUUCCCAGAAAUUUGGGUAUUUAAAAAAUCACCCUGGCCUGGGUUACAGGGUAAUUGUCCCAUAUCUAUGUUUCACCUGCAGAUUCAUGGGACAGAAUUAUUUCCCAAAUCUAGCUCCAUGCUCCUGCCCUGACUUAAGUCAGGGAAUACUUGGUAUGUAGUAGCAUUUAUUAUUUCACGUUCAAAAUAUCUCAAAGCCUUGAAAACUGUAACGUAUUAAACGGAAAUUUGGUAGGCAUUGCUUCGCACAAUCCCAUGAUGCCAGCUUGCUAGCAUGGAUAUGCCCAGGGCACCCUACCAGAUGCUGGACACAAAAGCUCAACAUGGUAGUUCUUCCCUGCAAGGGUUCACAGCCCAGUGGAGGAGAUCGUCAGAACCAUCUCCAGUAAUUCCAUUGACUGGCAGGACAUUUUUCCAUCAGAGAGUAGAGCUGAGCUGCUGCAGUGCCACGGCCACCUCCCAGCAACAACCCCUCCGACCCCAGCAGACCCACUACCUGGCUCUUUCGGUCUCUUCCUUGGCCUCUCAGACAUGUUGCCAUUUCUAUCAGAGCCAAUAAGAGUCUGGCAUGCCGUGGCCUCUGACUAGAACUAUACUACCAGCUAUCCCAGGCUGUAGCUUGCAGACAGCAGAUCAUGGGACUUCUCAGCCUCCACAAUCACAUCAAUCAAUUCCUUAUAGUACAAUAAGGCUUAUUUUAAUAAGGUGUGUUUAUGCAUCCAGUGUCAACUUCUCAUCUCUGGUGACAGGAGUCACCCCUUCUGCCUGGUACUUCCUUAAAGCAGGAUUCAUGAUAGCAGAAUUCUUUUGGAAGGUUCUGCUUUUAGGCAGAUGAGGGAGUGCAGAGAAAGGCUCUUCCUGAAUCUGUUGAUUCUCAAAUGCCUUUCACUCAAAAUAAUAUUUAUGUCAUGUGGCAUAUUCUGAUCCCUUCCUUGGUCACACCCAAAUUUUAUGGACUCAAAUACUUUGAAAGAAAAAAGAAAGGACGGAAAAAAGGAAAGAAGAAAGGAAAAACAGAAGGAAGAAAGGAAGGCACUGGCUAUGAUAAAACAUUUUUCAGGUGAUGUAUGAAUUUUAGAAAAAAAUACAUUUACAUACCCAAAACUAGGGCAUUAUUUUUAACCAAACAAUGUAAUGUAUGGAAAAGACAAGUUAAAUUCCACAUUCAAUUGGUAGGAUUUCAUAUUCAGUGUGAGCCAUUCUCUCCCUGUGCUGUGCUUGCUCCAAACAUAUUUCCACAGACUUGGAUAAUUUACCUUGAUUUUUGCUUAGUAUUGUAAAACGUCCCCAAAAUUUGAGAAAGCAUAGGAAAAAAACUUGUAGAAGCAAGUAAAACCAGAGAGGAAAGCCAUGACACAGGAAGAGAAGAUAUUACUGCCCACAAAGCAGCUGUUUGUCAACAAUCACAUUAGUGGUCUGGGAUCAUGAAGGAAUGUUUUAAGCAUUUUACACCCUAAUAUAAGUUUUUUAGUUACAUAUAGGCAUUUUUCUAUGUUUUCAGAAAUUGGCUAAGGAUUUGGGGUUGAUGCAUACCAUUUUGUAAUUUUUCCCAUUUCAAAUAAUAGGAAACAGCUCUGGUUAGCAUUUUUGUGCACAACAUCUGAUUUUAGGAGGGGAUGACUAAUAUUAAGUGGGAGGUGUCUGUAUUUUAGGAACUGGAUAGGAAAUUGUAUUCUCUUUACUUGCUCAACAUCCAUUUAACAAGCAUUUACCGAGUACUACAGUGAGCCAGGCAUUGUGCUGAGUGCUGAGCAGACAGCAGUGGAAAGUCUUCAUCCUUGGCUAAAAGGAUCUAGUCUAGUAAAUGAGACAGAGUGAGAGUUGUGAAAGGGGGCAUGGCAGGCACUAAUCCAGCUACAGGAGCCCAGGAGAGACUGAAACUAACUUUGCAAAAUCAUGGCAGUAAGAGAAAUCUAACAUAGUUGACUCCAUCCUGCUUCUAACCUCCAAGCUCUCCUUGGUCAUUCCUGAGCAUAGACCAACCAACUUCAGGAGCAAUUUAGUUUAUAGUUUAAUCUUAAAGCAAGAAUGAUAAUAGCCCUUCCCAAAACUAAACUGCCUUUGCAAAACUAAUGAAAGUCCUUCAUUCUGCUAAGAUGUAAGCAUAGUUAAAUGACAACUAGCUAUUGUUCUGGAGGUUACAACAUUUGUAACGUUUCCCAUUACUCCUGUAGAUAACAUAACUAUUGUAGAACCUACGAUUGGCUUUUUGAGAUGUCUUUUUAGAGUUCUGCAUUUCUGACUACUGGCUGACUCCACCUGGACCAGCAACUUGUGAUUCAACCGGUCCUGUGACCCCCUCCACCCAGAGGGGGCUCAGUGCAUAAGGACCAUUUUCCACACUCCUAUGAUUUCAUCCCCAACCAAUCAACAUUCCCCAUUCCCUAGCCCCUUGCCCACCAAACUAUCCUUGAAAACUAUCCUUGAAAACCUCUAGCCUCAGAGCCUUCAGGGAGACUGAUUUAAGUAAUAACUCUAUCUCCCACCUGGUUGGCCUCACGUCAAUUAAACUCUUUCUUUACUGCUAUACCAUUGUUUCGAGGAACUGGUUUUGUCUGUCAGCAAGCCAGAAGAACUCACAGGGCAAUUACAAGAUGAAUAAGAGUUACCGGGGUGAAAGUAGGGGACCAAGUACACUAGGCAGAGGGAGCAGCCUGUGCAAAAGCCCAGAGACAGAGAGCAAGGCAGCUGAAUCUGGCAUCACCAAGCCCCAGUGGAUGAGCAGUGCAGAUCCUCCCACUUACAACAUCCCCACUGGGCCCCAAGAAAGAGGCUGAAAUUUCCAGUUCCUCUCCAUAUCCUCUACCCACACACUCCUGACACUCAUCGUCUUCAUAGGCUACUUCAGGCACAAAACUGUGAAUGAGCUCUAAAAUGUGGUUUCCUCAUCUAUAAAAUGGGAUAAUAAAGUUUUAUCUUAUAGAGUUAUUGUAGGUAUUGAAUAGGUUGAUAUACAUAAAGCGCUUUUCACCAAUGUCUAGCACAUUUUCAGUGUUAUAUAUUAGCUAUUCAUUGUUAGCUAGAGGCCCUGAAAAUGUGUCGCAGUGAAGCCAGAGGUCCCUGAGGUCAGGCUGGGGAUAUCAAGUCCCAGGUUUUCUGCCCACCCACCUCCUCUUCCAAAUAAGGCAAAUGCACUUUUUUUUUUUUUUUUGGCCCACCAUUGUGCAGUAAAACUGCAUCCUACAUAGAUUUAACUUAAGCAAAUUCAAGAAUGCCCAGCUGGCUGGAUGAGACUGGGAGAAAAAUAACUUCAAUACUGCCAGUCCUACUCCAUUCUCUGAGAGCAAAUGCCCCAGGUGAACCUGGAGGAGAGGGAGAACAGGCACUCCCCUCCAGCCACAGUUUUCCCCACCUUUCCCCGGUCUAAGCAGCUUGACGUAUACUUUGUUAAAGGAUUUUCAAGCCUAAUUGUGACUACCUGCAAUUUUCACCCCACAAGCCGACUUUAAAACCUAACUCUUGCUAAAAAGAAGACACUCCAGCACCUCUGUCCGCUUAGCAUCAAGUAAAUUCCAAUCAAAUUAGAAAUCUUGAAGGCUUUCUGAGAGCUGGUCUUUACUUUAAACAGUUUAAAUCACCCCUAAGCUUAGCCUGAGGAGUAGGAUUAAAGCCUCCCUGAUGUGGAAAAAAACAAAAGAAGGAACUGUGAUUUACUGCCUAAGCCACCACCCUUAGCUUCCCCCACCACACUCUCCAGGUAAAAUCUGCUUCCGUUCUGCCUACUACCGUAGGCUAAAAAGAGAUCACCGGUCCUGAGACUCUAGUCACAUGGAUGCGCAGCAGGACAGGCACAGAGCUCCGCAGCUUGAAACAUAGAUGCUUGUAGCUCACAAGCCCACAAGUCCACCAGCCCGCCACAUCUCUUGAAGCUCAGGCAGGUACGUUCGCCCCGCUGGCUUUAAUUUCAAAAUCCAGCACAAUCACUGAAAAACUAGAGCGAUUUGCUCUUUCAGCUAUGCACAAUUUUCAUCAGCAGUCUCCAGUGGCUACAAUCUCAGGCAGGCUUUUACCACCUUUUCUCGUCCUCUCUAUACCAACACAUAUUCUGGAGAAAUGGUUUUUCUAAUGGCCUGUGGAGGUCUGCCUGUGUUUUGAGGCUUUGUCUGGGCACCAAGUCCAGCAGAUACAAUUCUCUUUCCUGAGUCAAGCAUUUAUAAAGAGCUGUGAUCUCAGAUUUCAGCUUGCUUCUGUCUUCCUUCUUACUCCUGAAAUCUGAUCAUCCCUUUUGUCUUUCUACCACAAUUAUAUAUUGAAAGAAAAACAUGAAGAUGCAAGAGUAUGCAGGGACAUGUGUAAGUGAUUCUCUGCAAGUGUUAAACACAGGGUGUAAUUACAGCUGGAAGGCAGUGCCUUGUGGGAGAAAAGACAAAAAAAGAGGUGGGGGGGGAUAUUCUUUAUAAAAUGUUCUUGUCUUUAUUUUUAAGCUUGAUGCUCACAUCUCACUUUCUAACACACACGGACAAAGAAUAUACUCAUGUACAAGCAAAAAUACUCAUAUAUGCACAUGUGCACAAACACACACAGACAAUGUAGUAUUUUAGAGACCCUUGGUCUUUUAUUCUUUUCAGCAAAUGAACAAUUAGCCUCAAUAGUCAAAUAAACAUCAGAAGAUGAGGGUUUUUCCCCCUUCCUCUGCUGUUACAAAAUAUAGCAACAAAGUGGGGCAAAGUAGCAUGAAACCUGAAGCAGCUCACACAGAAGGACUCAAGAGAAUAGGAUCUUCCAAAUGGAAGUUUCAGUUAGCUUCAGUGUUCUCAGAAUUGCAUCUCCUAAAUUUUGAUUCCAAAAGGGAAAUUCCCUAUGGCCCAGCAGGCCCAUACAAUCAAUUUUCCACAUUAUUUGUGUAAAUAUCUGUCCUGUUGCAUAUUCUGGAAGAAGUGACAGUUUCAAAAUGAGACUUGCCAACACACCCCCUUGUCCCAAACAAUAAGAAUCAGCAGAACAUCCCUAUCAGCCCUCUCAAUUUAUUCUUCAUCAGAAGCCAGUGGAAAAGGAAUUCAGCAAAGUGAGAUCCCCAACUGCACAAAGCACUAACCUAAUCACACCCAAAGGAAAAUGAGAGAAGAGUUUGACCUAGAGAGUCUUAAAUUAGUGGGCACACUCAGAGACUCAGGGGAAUUUUAGCUAGGCAAGCCACCAAUAAUUUAGAGAGAGGUGGCUCUAAUGAAGGGUCCAGGCUGCAGGGCAUGGUAGACAAUCUUUCAAGGCAAAGGCUCUGGGCCACGUGACCUGUCCAUGGCACAGUGGGUGUGUCAAGCACAGUGAAGUGUACAGAAGGUGUCUGACUUAUGCUGCUUUGAUGUACAAUUUUUCAGCUUUACAAUGGUGGAAAAGCAGUAUGUGUUCAGUAGAAACUGUACUUUGAGUACCUAUAAAACCAUUCUGCUUUUCACUUUCAGGAGAUAUUCAAUAAACUACAUGAGAUAUUCAACACUUUAUUAUAAAAUUAGCUUUGUGUUAGAUGAUUUUGCCCAACUGUAGGCUAAUGUAAGUGUUCCCAGCAUGUAUAAAGUAGGCAAGGCUAAGUUAUGAUAUUUGGUAGGUUAGGUGUAUUGAUUGCACUUCGACUUACAAUAUUUUCAACUCAUGAUGGGUUUAUCAGAUGUAACCCCUUCAUAAGCUGAUAUGGUUUGGCUGUGUACACCCAAAUCUCAUCUUGAAUUCCCACGUGUUGUGGGAGGGACCCAGUGGGAGAUGGUUGAAUCAUGGGAGCAGUUUCCCCCAUACUGUUCUCAUGGUAGUGAAUGAGUCUCACGAGAGCUGAUGGUUUGAUAAGGGGAAAUCUGUUUUGUUUGGCUCUCAUUCUCUCUCUUUGCCUGCUGCCAUCCAUGUAAGAUGUGACUUGUUCCUCCUUGCCUUCUGCCAUGAUUGUGAGGCUUCCUCAGCCAUAUGGAACUGUAAGUCCAAUUAAAUGUCUUUCUUUUGUAAAUUGCCCAGUUUUGGGUAUGUCUUUAUCAGCAGCGUGAAAAAGGACUAACACAUAUAAGCCAAGAAACACCUGUACAUGUGUUUCUUGCUUUAGAAAGCAGGAAGGCAAUUAGGCUUUAUUUUACAUGAAUCUACAAUGUUGGUGAAACCUGCUCUUCCAACAUCCUGCGGGCUCCUGGAAUGGACUCUGAUUAGGCAUAAAAUGAGGCAUAGCCACACACAAUGACUUUAUCUGGAAUACUGCUCACCUCCAUGUCCCUCCUACCCUGCAAGAAUGGGAAGUAGACUCAUUAGCAUCAUUUAAAAAUGGUCUCCUGGCUGGGUGCAGUGUCUCAUGCCUGUAACCCCAGCACUUUGGGAGGCCGAGGCAGGUGGAUCACGAGAUCAGGAGAUCGAGACCAUCCUGGCUAACACAGUGAAACCCUGUCUCUACUAAAAAUACAAGAAAUUAGCCAGGCAUGGUGGCGGGCACCUGUGGUCCCAGCUACUCAGGAGGCUGAGGCAGGAGAAUGGCGUGAACCCGGGAGGCGGAGAUUGCAGUGAGCCGAGAUUGCGCCACUGCAUUCCAGCCUGGGCGACAGAACGAGACUCCGUCUCAAAAGUAAAAAUAAAAAUAAAAAUGGUCUCCUUGCUUAUGUGUUCACUUGCUCUUUCCUCUCUUUCCUGGAGAGAUGAUAGCAAUUGC